AAACAAAUAGACAAAAGAUAUCUCAUUACAUUACCAUUACAAUUACAAUACGUUAAUGUCAAACAAAUACGCCUAGAUGGACAGCAGUUGUUUCCCUUUGUAUGGGAGAUCACUAUACUUCAUCAGUCUGCACUUCAGGAAGAAAUUUUACCAGUUUUUACGGUCAGUUUGAUACUCAUUUGAAUUUUUCGAGCUUGUGAAUUACGGAAAAAUAAAAAGUAUACUACUGACUUAAAAUCUGCUUUAUUCCUGUAUCACGAUAGUCAAAAAAUACUGACGAGCCAAACUCUAAGCUUUUAGUUUUAUCAGACUCCAGUCCGAGUGUGUCAAAAAAUAUUGAGUGCCAAUGCUAGAUUCCAAAAUAUUUUCUUCCUGGAGCAGAAUCUUGCUUUUAGAGGCACACAAAAUAGCACAAUAUCUUGUCGCGCAGUAGCUCAACAAAUUGUGCGCUUUAGGGCUUUUUAUUAUUUGUAUGGCUCCUCUACCACUAAUGCAAUUUCAGUGAAACUUCAGUGAAACAGGAUUGAUUGGUAUUAAAGAUGACCAAUGACCAAAUAUGGAAAGUGUUUGUACCAUGUGAUGUUCUGAGUCAGCCAGAAUCAUACCUUAUUGGUCAUGUAAAAAAAGAAACUCAAUCAGUUUAUAUCACAGCCUCAUCCUGUGA